GACAGCAGCUGCACAGCUCCAGACAAUCGUUGUCAAGGACGGGAAUGAGAUUCUAACAUGGCUGAUCUGAUUUUUCAAGAAAGGUGAAAGACCCAAAUUCAUGGAAGAGAAGUGAGUCACACAGGGAGCCAGUGGCAGAGCCACACCCCACAGAGCAAUCAACAUGCUCUACUCUGCAGACCUGCAACAGGGAGGGAAGCCAGACUCUGAUGCAAGAAGGAAAGACCAUGUGCUGGCUCAGUGUGUGCAGCCUGGACUGAGCUACUGAACUCUAAAUCCAAGGAUGACUAAUGUAAGCCUAAAGGGUAAUCUGCAAAUACUGCUCCAUUAAUAUUCAAUGAUAAAUGAUAUUGCUUUAGAAUCAAAUUCACAUAAACAGAAGCUUCAGCUGUAUGUCCGCACCCUGGGAACAUUAAAUUGUAAGCCACGUCUUGUA
rnacentral:lncRNA from 1 species